rnacentral:rRNA from 1 species
UACGUAGGCAGCAAGCGUUGUUCGGAAUUACUGGGCGUAAAGAGUGUGUAGGCGGUGUUCUAAGUUUGUCGUGAAAUCUCCCGGCUUAACUGGGAGGGUGCGGCGAAAACUGGAAUGCUAGAGGAUGGGAGAGGUAAGCGGAAUUCCUGGUGUAGCGGUGAAAUGCGUAGAUAUCAGGAGGAACACCGGUGGCGAAGGCGGAUCUCUGGGCCGUAACUGACGCUGAGGAGCGAAAGCAUGGGUAGCGAACAGG